rnacentral:rRNA from 1 species
UACAGAGGGUGCAAGCGUUAAUCGGAAUUACUGGGCGUAAAGGGUGCGUAGGUGGCCAGGUAAGUUUGGUGUGAAAGCUCGGAGCUUAACUCCGAAAAGUCAUUGAAUACUAUCUGGCUGGAGGGUCGGAGGGGAGACUGGAAUUCUCGGUGUAGCAGUGAAAUGCGUAGAUAUCGAGAGGAACACCAGUGGCGAAGGCGAGUCUCUGGACGACUCCUGACACUGAGGCACGAAAGCUAGGGGAGCAAACAGG